rnacentral:lncRNA from 1 species
UUUUCAGAGAGGACUCAUAAAUAAGCUGGCUGUAGAGGACUCUGGAGACAGUGUUAAGGAGGAGACACCAUAAGCUCUGUCCUCCUGUCCUUUCUUACCACACCAUGUGGAAGAACAGAUAUGCUCAGCUGUACCUUUUUUCAGUUCUUCUUGCCUUCCUGCCUUCUGCAUCUUCACUCAAUGGAGACCCGAAGUAUAUGGUGCUGGUCCCUUCUCAGCUCUACACUGAGACCCCUGAGAAAAUCUGCUUCCAUCUAUACCAUCUGAAUGAGACAGUGACCGUCACAGCUUCCUUGGUGUCUCAAUCAAGAUGGAGAAACCUGUUCGAUGAGCAUAUCACAGAUUUCUUGGUAUCUCAAUUGGAAAGGAGAAACCUGUUCGAUGAGCUUGUGGUUGACAAGGACUUGUUCCAAUGUGUUUCCUUCAUUAUCCCUACACUCAACUCUCCUGAUGAGGAGGAGUUUCUCUACGUGGACAUCAAAGGGCCAACCCACGAAUUCAGCAAAAGGAAAGCAGUGCUUGUGAAGAACAAAGAAAGUGUUGUCUUUGUCCAGACAGAUAAGCCCGUGUACAAACCAGGACAAUCAGUUAAAUUUCGGGUUGUCUCUAUGGAUAAAACUCUACACCCCCUGAAUGAGUUGCUCCCUCUGGCUUACAUUGAGGAUCCGAAAAAGAACCGAAUUAUGCAGUGGAGGGAUAUUAAGACUGAGAAUGGGCUUAAGCAAAUGUCCUUCAGCCUGGCAGCAGAGCCCAUUCAGGGCCCCUACAAGAUAGUGGUGCACAAACAGUCAGGGGAGAUGGAAGAACACUCCUUUACUGUGUUGGAAUUUGGUAUGAAUUGGGAAGACCAUCAAGAAAAAGCAAGUCUCAGGAUUCUGGUUAUCAUAGGAUGAAUUACUUUGUACAAAUUGAGUUCCAUCUGACUCUAGCUAAGGCUAUCCAUCUAGCAACAUGGGAAUUCUAGAAAGUUCUGGGAUUUUUCAAAAGCAAAUUACUUGUUUUAUUUUGUUUUUUUGUUUGUUCAUUUUUUUUACUUAAGUAGAUAUCCCUGUGAUUUUCAAGAAGUGAUAUAAUGUAUAGCCACUCAUCAUUCUAACUUUAUUGGGAUGGGUCAUGCCUUAAUAAUGUGAAAUGACCAUUUCUGGGCAGAGAGUGAUCACUUAGGCAACUAGACAAUUAGGUCCACUCCUGAGUGUCUCCUCUCUCUCACAAUAGUGCUUCCCAGAUUUAAUGUCGACCUGAAGGUUCCAAAUGCCAUCUCUGUGAAUGAUGAAGUGCUCCAAGUGACUGCAUGUGGGAAGUGAGUUGCUGGCUUCUGUACUUCUAUCCUUAAGAAAGUACUCAGACACAGAAAAUCCCUGGGAUGAUGUCUCUUUAUUGAAUAUGUAGAAAAUGCUACAGUUGUGUCCUUUCCCACUAGAAUGUUUCCCCUGUGGUGCUUGUUUGUAUUCCUUACUACUCUGUAUAGAUUACUUUGCAAUCAUUCACUGCAUACAUUGCUGAUAUCUAUAGAUAAAAAUCAAUCUUAUGAGGAAAUAAAGAGGUCCUGCCUUUGGAGACAGGAAGGGACCUAA